GUCGAGCGAAUGGAUUGAGAGCUUGCUCUCAAGAAGUUAGCGGCGGACGGGUGAGUAACACGUGGGUAACCUGCCCAUAAGACUGGGAUAACUCCGGGAAACCGGGGCUAAUACCGGAUAACAUUUUGAACUGCAUGGUUCGAAAUUGAAAGGCGGCUUCGGCUGUCACUUAUGGAUGGACCCGCGUCGCAUUAGCUAGUUGGUGAGGUAACGGCUCACCAAGGCAACGAUGCGUAGCCGACCUGAGAGGGUGAUCGGCCACACUGGGACUGAGACACGGCCCAGACUCCUACGGGAGGCAGCAGUAGGGAAUCUUCCGCAAUGGACGAAAGUCUGACGGAGCAACGCCGCGUGAGUGAUGAAGGCUUUCGGGUCGUAAAACUCUGUUGUUAGGGAAGAACAAGUGCUAGUUGAAUAAGCUGGCACCUUGACGGUACCUAACCAGAAAGCCACGGCUAACUACGUGCCAGCAGCCGCGGUAAUACGUAGGUGGCAAGCGUUAUCCGGAAUUAUUGGGCGUAAAGCGCGCGCAGGUGGUUUCUUAAGUCUGAUGUGAAAGCCCACGGCUCAACCGUGGAGGGUCAUUGGAAACUGGGAGACUUGAGUGCAGAAGAGGAAAGUGGAAUUCCAUGUGUAGCGGUGAAAUGCGUAGAGAUAUGGAGGAACACCAGUGGCGAAGGCGACUUUCUGGUCUGUAACUGACACUGAGGCGCGAAAGCGUGGGG
rnacentral:rRNA from 1 species